rfam:Sporanaerobacter sp. PP17-6a isolate PP176A genome assembly, contig: PP17-6a_contig49
GAGAGUAGGUCUCUCGGAAUCGAUAUCCAGAUAUAGAUUUCAAACCACCUUUGGGUGCUGUAGUCAAAAGCUAUGGUACUGAGCGCAAAGGCAAAAGGCUGUUGGAACAGUCAGGU